CUAAAAAUGGUGUCUUUAAUCGGGU
rnacentral:piRNA from 1 species